UUCUGGAGGAGCGGUCUUGGCUCAGCGUGGCGAUCUCAUACCGGUGUUGAGGUCUUCGGCAGUGGCUUCUGGACAUUCCAGCCGCAUGGCGUGGAGGUCUUGUUCCAGGUAUUCCAGUGGCCUCGUGCGGCGGUCGCUUUGCCCUGGAGAUGCGGUCUCGGUUUGGCAGUCUUGUCCUGGUGUGGAGAUCACUUCCUGGUGUGGAGGUCUCCAGCAGCUGAGGUGAAAAAGACAUGAAUUCGAGUUUGAGCAGUACAGAAGAUUAAGCAGGAGCAGCAGCACUUAAUGUUAUGGAUAUGGAAAUAAGCGGUCUUAGUGAUGUUGCGAACAUCAGGAUGAAAGCUCAACUUGAAGUCAGAUGUGACACCUAGGUUGCAAACAGUCUGCUUCAUCCUCAGACACAAGGAAGAAAGAUGGAGUUGGUGGCUUGGGCGUGAAACUUCAGCCUUGGACUAAAAGCACUUGUUUCGGUGUUCCCAGGAUUAAAUUACAAGAAAUUUCUGCUGGACAAGUAGCUUGGCUGAAUGGGUUUGGGGGAAAGAGGAAAGAUGAUGGACCGCUUAUGAGAUGUUAUUAGAUAAUUUUGAAUGUCAUUUGAUCCAGAGAAGUAUGAACUGAUACAUUUUGGGAGAAAGAGUCAGAAAGAAAUAUUUACACUGUGAGUUAAAACAUGAGUAGGAUCAGAGAUUUGGUGGUUACAAAACAAAAAUGUUUAAAAUUAGGAGCUCAAGUUAGUAAAAGGUAAUGUUUUGAAGCAAAUCAUAAGUAAUGCUGGUUUUAUAAGUAGGAAUAUACAGAAUGAAACUCAUGCUGAAUUUAUAAAAAUCAUUGGUUAGGCUAGAAUUAUGAUAUUACUUCCACAUUACUUUACGCUAAAAACCAUGUCAAGGCCAUGUAGAGGGUACUGAAGCAUCACGUGGGUCUCAGUGAGGUAUUGAGGUGAUAGGUUUGAGGAAAGACUAGACAAACUGUUGCUUUUGAAGUUUGAGAGGGAUUCUGAUUUGGAUGCUCGAUUAUGAUGAGUAUGCACUGAAUGUUGCAUGAGUAACUAGAGGGUCAAAACUGUCAGUGAUAAUCAGAAGGAACGAGAUUAGUAAUUGGACAUUUUUUGCAUAAAUUGCUAAACUUAGAAUAGUCUUCAGGAAACUGAUUUUAAAAAAAAGACUGCAAGAUAGUUGAUGAGAGAACUUUUGAAAGGUAAUGUGACAAAUUGAUAUCUUUACAAGGAGGUCACACUGUCUGAACAAAUUACUAAAAUCAUUGCGUUGUAAAACUCUUUUGAUACCAUGAUUCUUGAAAUUCUUUAGAAUUAAGGCAGGAUGAUCUGGAUAGAAAUGGUGUGCGGGAAUAUGGAGAAAAGACAGGAGAUUGGUGUGAGGUAAUAGAACCAGAGCAGGCACAAUGGCUGAACAGCUGUUUCCAUGCCAUAGUGAUUCUGUGACCUGAAGAAGGUUCAUUUUUCAUUACCGAUAGUGAAAAGUUCCGGGAUGAGUGAGUCUCACUGAACUGAAAGAGAAAUUCAUGAUAAUUUGCAGAAAUCUCAUAAGUACUUCUUUCAUUGUUUUAUGUGCCAUAGAUUUCAAAAAGCGAAUUGUGUUUUCGGAGAAGUGGUGUUGUUUUGGUCUGAAGAUUUGACUGGUCUCGCCUUUAAACCUGGAGGAACUUCUUUGUAGGAUUGAACAGAUGUCUAUGGAAUAUGCUUAUCUUGCAAUGCCACUAUAGGUGCUAGUUAAAAGUGUAGUCAGCGUUAAAAAAUAAUGUUCUGGAGUUUUCUGUAAAUAAUUUACAGAGUUUGGUAUUAAAUAAAUAUUUUAUUACAACUUG